AUGCCGCACGAGCUCUGGGCAGCCCUUGCCCACAUGUUCUCGUCGCAGUCCAGGGCGCGCGUCAACAACAUCAGAGUCGCGCUCUCCACGGUGCAGAAGGGGACGCAGUCAGUGGCCGCCUACUUCGCCCACAUGAGGUCCCUGGCAGAUGAGCUCGCAGCUGCCGGCAAGCCCAUCGAUGAUGAUGAGCUGAUCUCCUACAUCACCUCCGGCCUCGACAUGGAGUACCAACCUCUCGUCUCCGCCAACGAUGCCCGCACCGAGCCCAUCAGCAUCGAUGAUCUCUACGCCCAGAUGAGUAACUUCGAUCAGCGCCUUGCCCUUUACAGCACGGCGGGGUCCGGUGGAGGUUUCAAAUCCUCUGCUAACGCGGCCUCUCGCGGCCGCAGUGGCGGUGGACGCGGCGGUGGCAACUCAUCUCGCUAUCGUGGGCCGCAGCGCACCAAGGGCAAGCCAACAGGCGGCGAUGGCAACCCUCCUCCAUGCAGCGGCAACGGCGGCGGCGGUCGGCCCUACAACAACAGCAACAAGGGUCGCCGCGGAGGCCGCCCACGAGCUGCUCCUGACGUCCCGCGCUGCCAAAUCUGUGGCAAGCCAGGCCACACCGCACGGGACUGCUGGUACCGCUACGAGGAGGAUGAAGAAUCUUCCCAAGAUGAGAAGGUUGCGGGGGCAGCCGAUGGCUCCUACGGCGUCGACACGAACUAG
rnacentral:rRNA from 1 species